UACGGAGGGGGCUAGCGUUGUUCGGAAUUACUGGGCGUAAAGCGCACGUAGGCGGCUUUGUAAGUUAGAGGUGAAAGCCCGGGGCUCAACUCCGGAAUUGCCUUUAAGACUGCAUCGCUAGAAUUGUGGAGAGGUAAGUGGAAUUCCUAGUGUAGAGGUGAAAUUCGUAGAUAUUAGGAAGAACACCAGUGGCGAAGGCGGCUCACUGGAUCGGUACUGACGCUGAGGUGCGAAAGCGUGGGGAGCAAACAGG
rnacentral:rRNA from 1 species